rnacentral:rRNA from 1 species
GCUUACGGCCAUACCACCCUGAACACGCCCGACUCUCGAAUCUCGGAAGCUAAGCAGGGUCGGGCCUGGUUAGUACUUGGAUGGGAGACCGCCUGGGAAUACCAGGUGCUGUAAGCU